CCUUUAUUCUCUCAUCUCCACUCUCUCUCUCUCACUCUUGAAGGAGCUUGCUACUGCUGAGUUCCUGUUUACGUUUCUGUUUUUAAAGAUGGAGAAAGCCCGUGAACAUAUAGAAAGCAUAAGAAGAGACAGAUUCUUCAUUGGUCGAGAGCA